UGUGGGAGGGGGUUGCUCCCGAUGGCAGUGUGUCAGUCAGCUCAGCUGUACCUGAUACAGCGCUAUCGGGAGCAAGUCCCCUCCCACA
rnacentral:misc_RNA from 1 species